UGGUCACAGCAGUCUGCUGUGUUUUUCCUCCUCCUGGGUUUGCCACUCCCCCUGUCGGUCUCACUUCACACCUGGCCGUCAUCUGCAAUCAUGCUCACCUGGUCGUCAUCUCCAAUCAACUCCCCUUCAUAAACCCUUGGAUUCCCUGCUGUCGGUGCCAGAUCGUACUUCGCUCUACAGUGUUAUCCGGAUCACGCACUCCAGCUCGCCUGCCUCACCCUCCCCCCGGCUUCCGCGUCCUCUACCUGCUCCUCCACCUCAUUCAAUAAACCCCCUUGCAUCAAUUCAA